rnacentral:rRNA from 1 species
UGUCGUCAGCUCGUGUUGUGAAAUGUUGGGUUAAGUCCCGCAACGAGCGCAACCCUUAUCCUUUGUUGCCAGCGAUUAGGUCGGGAACUCAAAGGAGACUGCCAGUGAUAAACUGGAGGAAGGUGGGGAUGACGUCAAGUCAUCAUGGCCCUUACGACCAGGGCUACACACGUGCUACAAUGGCGCAUACAAAGAGAAGCGACCUCGCGAGAGCAAGCGGACCUCAUAAAGUGCGUCGUAGUCCGGAUUGGAGUCUGCAACUCGACUCCAUGAAGUCGGAAUCGCUAGUAAUCGUGGAUCAGAAUGCCACGGUGAAUACGUUCCCGGGCCUUGUACACACCGCCCGUCACACCAUGGGAGUGGGUUG